AUUGAACGCUGGCGGCAUGCUUUACACAUGCAAGUUGAACGGUAACAGGCCGCAAGGUGCUGACGAGUGGCGAACGGGUGAGUAAUACAUCGGAACGUGCCCAGUCGUGGGGGAUAACGUAGCGAAAGCUACGCUAAUACCGCAUACGAACUGAGGUUGAAAGCGGGGGAUCGCAAGACCUCGCGCGAUUGGAGCGGCCGAUGGCAGAUUAGGUAGUUGGUGGGGUAAAGGCCUACCAAGCCGACGAUCUGUAGCUGGUCUGAGAGGACGACCAGCCACACGGGGACUGAGACACGGCCCAGACUCCUACGGGAGGCAGCAGUGGGGAAUUUUGGACAAUGGGCGCAAGCCUGAUCCAGCCAUUCCGCGUGCAGGAUGAAGGCCCUCGGGUUGUAAACUGCUUUUGUACGGAACGAAAAGGCUUUUUCUAAUACAGAGAGCUCAUGACGGUACCGUAAGAAUAAGCACCGGCUAACUACGUGCCAGCAGCCGCAGUAACAC
rnacentral:rRNA from 1 species